rnacentral:rRNA from 1 species
AUUGAACGCUGGCGGCGUGCCUAACACAUGCAAGUCGAGCGGUAACAGGUGUAGCAAUACAUGCUGACGAGCGGCGGACGGGUGAGUAACGCUUGGGAAUCUGCCUGUUAGUGGGGGACAACCCGGGGAACUCGGGCUAAUACCGCAUACGCACUACGGUGGAAAGCCGGGGACCGCAAGGCCUGGCGCUAACAGAUGAGCCCAAGUCGGAUUAGCUAGUUGGUAGGGUAACGGCCACCAAGGCGACGAUCCGUAACUGGUCUGAGAGGACGACCAGUCACACCGGAACUGAGACACGGUCCGGACUCCUACGGGAGGCA